UUUCUAUUAAAAAAAAAAAAGAGAGGAUUUUAGGAAAAUCGUUCCAAUAAACAAACCAUCCGCCAUAGUUCUUCAUCAUUCACUAUUUACGGGCACCGAGAGGAGAGAACACCUGCGCCUCCACCCUGAACCCAAAUACAACAGAGAAGAGAUACUCCUCCGCCCCAAAUCAUCACGUCGGCUUUCUUCACAUCUGAUUCAGGUACCUGCUCCAAAUCAUCGUUUCACUGGGAUAAUGUUCUCUGUUUCUACUGGGAAAAUAUUUAUAUCUGUGUUUGAAGGAUUUCUUUCUAAAAUCUCUGAGAACUUGAAUCUCAAGCCUGUCAUCAGAAUUGGUCCAUGUUUUGAGGAUCAGAUCCCCUCACCAGAAGCCCCACUCGAUUGGAGUUUGGGCACGUUCUGGCCUCUGAACCGACAUAUCUCAGCACUGGGCUAUCAGUUAGUCCUUAAAUUUUGAGCGUCGAAUCCUUCCCUACUUAACUCCAUUCGACGGUAAUAUUGCUUCUAUCUGGUCUCUGCUAAUGUGGUUCUUGCUUAUGAAUUGUUUUCAUGAGAUUUAACCUGAUUUGUAACUUGCGACUAGGGGUUUUCCUCUAAUGCUUGAGUGAGAAUUAUUCUAGUGUUGUGUGGGUGUUACCAGGGAUAUCAGGACCUGUUCAGAGUCUUGGUUUAGUCGUUGAAAGUUGAUUUUACAUUCUGAUUUAAUUCUUCAGAUCAGUACCUUGUUGGAGUUGACUAGUGAUCCUACUUGGGGUUAGGGAACUGAUGUCCUAGCCUUACAUUAAUAUGCUUUGGAUUGAUCAAUUUGAUCAAUGCUUGAAGAUACCGGGGAAUUAAGGAAGAAUCUAUGGUGUGUGGCAGAGAGGGAGAUUGAAAUGUGGAGUAAUUUAUGAAGUUGGCAGAAUCAGGGCUUGGAAAUAAACAAAGGGUCAUAAGUGUAGUGGGUUGCAACCAUCUCUGAAGUAAGUCAAUGCUGCACAGAAACAGAUUCCAAAAAAAAAAAAAAAGAGGAUUCAUGGGGUGUGCCAUGCUCAGGUGUUCUUUUCAAGCCGGUUACGCUGCACGUACAAUCAUAGCUCAACAAAUGUCCCUUUUGCUUCUAGAAAUGCCCUCUGGGCACUCUUUGAAUGUUGUGUGAUUGAUUUUCUAGUUGCUAUCUGAGAAUAGAAAUGGGGCCCUUGUAGGCAUAGGUCAACAUAGUUAUAUGUUUAUUUAUGUAUUUGGGUUGAAUGAGAGAAGAUGAAUUCAACACUUGGUAAUAUUACGAAAGGUCCAUUCAAAGCCAUCAUCAGCCUUAGCUCUCCGUCUUCAAUGAAGGAAGAUUAGGAUAAUGGACAACGUGGUGAGUGUUUCAGCUCUCAAAGAAAGUCCAAUGUUUCAUCUCAUUUGUCUUGACAAUGAAAUAUGUUAAUCACGUUUGGUGUUCAUGGAAAAAAGGGGAUUGAAAGACCCAUUUAAUUGUAUUCUUCUAACAACAAAGGUUUUGUGAAAUCUUCUCCUCCCUGGCAUGUGCAAUGUUUCUUUUGCAUUUGUCUCUGUUAGUGCUGAAAACUGUUUAACAUGUUAUUGUUGUAGAGCAGAAUAUUUUUUGCAUUGCAGUUCCCAAAAUAGUUGUAAUAAAUAUUUUGGAUGCUUUUGAGUAGGCGCUACCCAGUAUAACAUCUUCACCAUUUCAUG